UACGUAGGCAGCGAGCGUUGUUCGGAGUUACUGGGCGUAAAGCGUGCGUAGGCGGUGGUCCAAGUCUGGUGUGAAAUCUCCCGGCUUAACUGGGAGGGUGCGCCGGAAACUGGGCCGCUGGAGUACGGGAGAGGCAAGCGGAAUUCCAGGUGUAGCGGUGAAAUGCGUAGAUAUCAGGAGGAACACCGGUGGUGUAGACGGCUUUCUGGGCCGUAACUGACGCUGAGACACGAAAGCGUGGGUAGCAAACAGG
rnacentral:rRNA from 1 species